AUUGAACGCUGGCGGCAGGCCUAACACAUGCAAGUCGAGCGAGCGGCGGACGGGUGAGUAAUGUCUGGGAAACUGCCUGAUGGGGGGGGAGAACUACUGGAGACGGUAGCUAAUACUGCAUACAAUCAGAUGUCCCCAGGUGGGAUUAGCUAGUGGGUGGGGUAACGGCUCACCAAGGCAACGAUCCCUAGCUGGUCUGAGAGGAUGACCAGCCACACUGGAACUGAGACACGGUCCAGACUCCUACGGGAGGCAGCAGUGGGGAAUAUUGGACAAUGGGCGCAAGCCUGAUGCAGCCAUGCCGCGUGUGUGAAGAAGGCCUUAGGGUUGUAAAGCACUUUCAGCGGGGAGGCGUUACCCGCAGAAGAAGCACCGGCUAACUCCGUGCCAGCAGCCGCGGUAAUUC
rnacentral:rRNA from 1 species